UGCCCGUAGUUGCAGCCUAUUCAUUGAGGUUAGCAUGGCUUGUAUGUUGUUAUGGUAGUGCUAUCAUAUUGAAAACCAUGUGUUCGUGAUUAUUAACCCCGCUUCAGUGUGGUAACAAAUUUCAAUGAUAUCACUCAUCAUUUCCUGGACUGCAUCUAUGUUCAUCUGAUGAUGCAAAGCGACCAUGCUAAACGCGUCGUGCACUCUCUUGCUCUCGUCCCAUUUGCCCCAUCCGCACCGCUGGCUAGCACUGCACGCCGUGUCCCAGAGCUUUGUCUGAGUGUGAAGGCCGAGGACGAAGAUCUCACUGAUAUGAUCAUGGGAUUUCUGGAGCAGCCAGGGAUCAGCGCACUCGAGCAUGGAGUUAGUGUGAACCUGGUGGUGGAACGU